UACGGAGGGUGCAAGCGUUAUCCGGAUUCACUGGGUUUAAAGGGUGCGUAGGUGGGUCUGUAAGUCAGUGGUGAAAUCUCCGAGCUUAACUCGGAAACUGCCAUUGAUACUAUAGGUCUUGAAUUAUCUGGAGGUAAGCGGAAUAUGUCAUGUAGCGGUGAAAUGCUUAGAUAUGACAUAGAACACCAAUUGCGAAGGCAGCUUACUACGGAUAUAUUGACGCUGAGGCACGAAAGCGUGGGGAUCAAACAGG
rnacentral:rRNA from 1 species